rnacentral:rRNA from 1 species
UACGUAGGGAGCGAGCGUUAUCCGGAUUUAUUGGGUGUAAAGGGUGCGUAGACGGAAAUACAAGUUAGUUGUGAAAUACCUCGGCUUAACUGGGGAACUGCAACUAAAACUAUAUUUCUUGAGUAUCGGAGGGGUUUGUGGAAUUCUUAGUGUAGCGGUGAAAUGCGUAGAUAUUAGGAAGAACACCGGUGGCGAAGGCGACAAACUGGACGAUAACUGACGUUGAGGCACGAAAGUGUGGGGAGCAAACAGG